rnacentral:rRNA from 1 species
CCCGCUCAGAACUUAAAGGAAUUGACGGGGCCCGGCACAAGCGAGGAGCAUGUGGUUUAAUUCGAUGAUACGCGAGGAACUUACCUGGGCUCGAACGUAAGAUGACUGUAGGUGAAAGCUUACAUCUCUUCGGAGCAUUUACGAGGUGCUGCAUGGUUGUCGUCAGCUCGUGCCGUGAGGUGUCGGGUUAAGUCCCAUAACGAGCGCAACCCCUACCUUUAGUUGCCAUCAGGUUAAGCUGGGGACUCUAAAGGAACUGCCUACGCAAGUAGUGAGGAAGGCGGGGAUGACGUCAAAUCAGCACGGCCCUUACGUCCAGGGCUACACACGUGCUACAAUGGCCGAUACAGAGGGCAGCUACCUGGUGACAGGAUGCAAAUCUCCAAAGUCGGUCUCAGUUCGGAUCGGAGUCUGCAACCCGACUCCGUGAAGUUGGAUUCGCUAGUAAUCGCGCAUCAGCCAUGGCGCGGUGAAUACGUUCCCGGGCCUU